UACGGAGGGUGCAAGCGUUGUCCGGAUUUAUUGGGUUUAAAGGGUGCGUAGGCGGCUGAUUAAGUCAGCGGUGAAAGACUUCGGCUUAACCGGAGCAGUGCCGUUGAUACUGGUUAGCUUGAGUGUUGGAGGGGUACAUGGAAUCGAUGGUGUAGCGGUGAAAUGCAUAGAUACCAUCAGGAACACCGAUAGCGAAGGCAUUGUACUGGCCAACAACUGACGCUGAUGCACGAAAGUGUGGGGAUCGAACAGG
rnacentral:rRNA from 1 species